UACGUAGGGUGCGAGCGUUGCCCGGAUUUAUUGGGCGUAAAGGGCGCGUAGGCGGCCACGCACGUCCGUUGUGAAAUCGCCCGGCUCAACUGGGCGGGGUCGGCGGAUACGGCGUGGCUGGAGCAAGCUAGGGGGCAAUGGAAUUCCCGGGUGUAGUGGUGGAAUGCGUAGAUAUCGGGAGGAACACCAGUGGCGAAGGCGGUUGCCUGGAGCUUUGCUGACGCUGAGGCGCGAAAGCGUGGGGAGCGAUCCGG
rnacentral:rRNA from 1 species